rnacentral:snoRNA from 1 species
UCUGUAUCAUAGAUGAUCUUAAUGUAUUGGCUUCCAGGUGUGGCUGUGGUAUCCCAUGUGUAAUUAAGGUGGCAGAGAGGAGAGAAGCUAUGUGUACACACCAUGUUCUGACUGAUGAAUAUCUGAGUGAUUAGUAGCACAAUAUU